rnacentral:rRNA from 1 species
AUGAACGCUGGCGGCGUGCCUAAUACCUGCAAGUCGAGCGAACGGACGAGAAGCUUGCUUUUCUGAUGUUAGCGGCGGACGGGUGAGUAACCCGUGGAUAACCUACCUAUAAGACUGGGAUAACUUCGGGAAACCGGAGCUAAUACCGGAUAAUAUUUUGAACCGCAUGGUUCAAAAGUGAAAGACGGUCUUGCUGUCACUUAUAGAUGGAUCCGCGCUGCAUUAGCUAGUUGGUAAGGUAACGGCUUACCAAGGCAACGAUGCAUAGCCGACCUGAGAGGGUGAUCGGCCACACAGGAACUGAGACACGGUCCAGACGCCUACGGGAGGCAGCAGUAGGGAAUCUUACGCAAUGGGAGAAAGCCUGACGGAGCAAAGCCGCGUGAGUGAUGAAGGUAUUCGGAUCGUAAAAAUCUGUUAUGAGGGAAGAACAUAUGUGUAAGUAACUGUGCACAUCGUGACGGUACCUAAUCAGAAAGACACGGCUAACUACGUG